GACGAACGCUGGCGGCGUGCCUAAUACAUGCAAGUAGAACGCUGAAGCUUGGUGCUUGCACCGAGCGGAUGAGUUGCGAACGGGUGAGUAACGCGUAGGUAACCUGCCUGGUAGCGGGGGAUAACUAUUGGAAACGAUAGCUAAUACCGCAUAAGAGUAGAUGUUGCAUGACAUUUGCUUAAAAGGUGCAAUUGCAUCACUACCAGAUGGACCCGCGUUGUAUUAGCUAGUUGGUGAGGUAACGGCUCACCAAGGCAACGAUACAUAGCCGACCUGAGAGGGUGAUCGGCCACACUGGGACUGAGACACGGCCCAGACUCCUACGGGAGGCAGCAGUAGGGAAUCUUCGGCAAUAGACGGAAGUCUGACCGAGCAACGCCGCGUGAGUGAAGAAGGUUUUCGGAUCGUAAAGCUCUGUUGUAAGAGAAGAACGAGUGUGAGAGUGGAAAGUUCACACUGUGACGGUAUCUUACCAGAAAGGGACGGCUAACUACGUG
rnacentral:rRNA from 1 species